GUUGAGUUUGAUCCUGGCUCUGGAUGAACGCUUGAGAUAUGCUUAAUACAUGCAAGUUUUGUGUAUUUUCAAUGCAUUAAGCGAACGGGUGAGUAUAAAGAAAAAGCUACCUUUUUUAAGAUUGCUAUUUUUAUUUAGAUUUAAAAGAGAUGCUUUUUCAUAAAGUUUAGAUAGGAGUAGUUCUUGUCAACGAUCUUUAGCUGGAUUGAAAGAUUGAUCAGCCACACUGGCACUGAGAAAAGGGCCAGACUUCUUUGAAGGCAGCAGUAGGGAAUACUGGACAAUGAGCGUAAGCUUGAUCCGACAAUAUCUCGUGGGUGAUUUGAAGGUUUACUGUAAAGCCCUUAUAUAAUGAGGAUAAUGACAGUAGUUAUAUAAAAAGCACCGGCUAACCUCGUGCCAGCAGCCGCGGUAAUACGGGGGGUGCGAGCGUUAUCCUAAUGAACUCGGCGUAAAGGGAGCGUAGGUUGUUUUAAGUAAUAGUUUAAGUAUCAUUUUAAUGUAUCCUUUUUCUAUAAAAAAAAACUUGAGUUAUUUAUGAGGGUUAUAGUAUUUUUUGAGGAGAGAUGAAAUACGACAAUACUUUAGAGAAUACCAACGGUGAAGACAGUAACCUAGAUAUAACUGACACUGAGGCUCGAAAGUGUAGGUAUCGACAGGGAUUAGAUACCCCUUUAGUCUACACCGUAAACUAUACAUACUUGUAUGAAAAUUAAGUACGUCGCUAAUGCUUUAGUAUGUCGCCUGAGGAGUACGAUCGCAAGGUUGAAACUUAAAGGAAUUGACGGGGAUCUACACAAGUGGUGGAGCAUGUGGUUUAAUUCGAUGAUCCGCGCAAAACCUUACCAAUAUUUGAAUAAUUAUUAAAAAUAACGAAACUUAUUUAUGUAUAAUUACAGGUGCUGCAUGGCUGCCGUCAGCUCGUGUUUUGAGAUGUCAAGUUUAUUCUUGAAACGAGCGUAACCUUUAAUUUUUGUUCUUCAUUUGUUAUCUCCACGGGGAGUAUAACUAUCUCAGGGUACAUUGGUUGCGGAGAAUAUGGGCAAUUUACUACACUUAAACUGAAAAUAAACAAAAAUGAUUUAAGCUUUCCUUAAAACGAGAGCUUAACGAAAUGAAGAUCACGCCAAGUCCUCAUGACCUCUAUAUAUUGGGCUACUUUCAUGUGCUACAAGGAUAUUUACAAAGGAAUUAUUUUAAAAGAUAUCAAAGUACGGAUUGUUUUCUGAAACUCGAAAACAUAAAGGAGGAAUCACUAGUAAUCGUAUAUCAGCAUGGUACGGUGAAUACGUGCCUGGGUCUUGUACAUACCGCCCGUCACGCUCAGAAAAAUGUAUUGAUUUGAAUUUAUAAUUAAUGUAUUAGUAUAUGUUUUACGUAUGAUAAUGAUAAAUAUGAGAUUUCUGUUGAUUUGAGCGAAGUCGUAACAAGGUGACUGUAGAGGAAUCUGUGGUUG
rnacentral:rRNA from 1 species